AUACUUACCUUGAGAUGUUAUAAGAGAUCAAGUAGUCUUAUAACCAGAAUUUCUUGUUGGCAUUGCACAGCGCUGCAAGAAGGCUUCUGCCAACUUUUCUAUAAUUAGUGAAGUGUGGGUCUUUUAAUUUUUGAUUU